UGUUGGUGUAUCUGUAUGGACGGGAUUUAGGGUAGACGGUGAGUACAGAGCUCCUCGGAGGAGCCCUCAGGGGCCUCCUGUGUGAGGAGGAAGUCUGGUGAUGGGACCCCAGGCUGUGGUGACCUCACUUCCCUGAUGACACAGUUGCCCGGAAUUUGGAACCCAGGACACCAGGCAACUGCAUUUCCAUACACAGCCUCCUUACUCGCUCAUUCGCUAGGAGAUCCUGUGAGGAGCAGGAUGUUCUCGUGCUGUUUUCGAACCUCUGGGGGCCCCAGGCUGAGGACAGCGCGCCCUACUAGCAGUGCCCCUCGUGGGGGGUGUCCUGUCAGGGCUCACCGGCGCCUCUGGCCAUUUGGCAGAAGGGGUCGAAAGAGCACCACAGAAGAUGUUGGAAGGAGGCUCGCGGACACCAGGUCCCACCUCCCUCCAGUGGUACAGUUGUGCCCCGCCGCCCAGCAGAGCCAGCGUGGACGCAGGGACAAAGUAUCAACAGAACCAUCUCCAGGGGCAGGUACCCAGGACUGCCUGGAAAGGCCCCUGACCUCGCCCAGGCCACAGUUCCUGUACCUCCUACAUUUCACAGAUCCAGAACCUGUCCCUGUUACAGUUGAUGCCAGUGCUCCUGACCGAGAGACUGACCCAUAUUCUGAUGGAGACCUUUGCCUUGACCCCUCUCCUGACCCUGCUGUUGCCCCUGCAACAGCUCCUGCCACUGAUGCUGCCCCUCUACUCGUUCCUGCUCUUGACCCUGACCCUGCGCCAGCUCCUGACCCUGAGCCUGACCAUGACCCUGCUCCUGACCCUGAUCCUGAAAGUGACCAGGACUCUGCUCCUGACCCUAUCCCUCCUUCUGAUCUGGACCCUGGCUUUGCUUCUGCCCCUGACCCUGCUCCUGACUCUGCUCCUGCUUCUGUCCUUAUCCCUUCCCUUGCUCCUGAUCCUGCCCCUUCCCCUGCUCCCGACUCUGACCCUGACCAUGCUCCUGUUUAUGACACUGACCCUGACCCUGCUACUGCCCCCGCCCCUUACGCUGACCCUUCUCCUUCCCCACCUCUGCCACUGCUCCUGCCCCUGCCCCUGCCCCUGCCCCUCCUCCUGCUCAGCUCCCAGAGGGCUCCCAGGAGCCCAUAGCUCUUUGAAGAUAAUUGCUUGUACAAUUACCCUUCAUUCCAUCACCUGACCCCAAUCUCCCACCCGCAUGUGUCAUCCCCUCACCUUAUAUUCUUUCUAGUAUCUAUUCACUGUGUUUGUAUCUUUACACAUUCUGU
rnacentral:lncRNA from 1 species